rnacentral:rRNA from 1 species
GGCAAUUAUCCUCAUAAGUUUGCCGAAAAGAGGUGCCGUAUUUUUUUAAAUUAAAAUCUAAGGGUGUAAUAAACUAUUUAUUCUAGUUUAUUCUAGUUACUGUCUCCCCUUUAAAUAAGGGAAAGGGGCAAGGUUAUUUUAUUACACACCGUGGUUCCGUGAAAAAAUUUAUUUAAAUACGGUGGCACAAAAUCGGAAGCCCCGACUGUUUACUAAAAACACAAAGAUCUGCAAUGACGAAUAGUCAUAGUAUAGGUCUUGAAAUUUGCUCGAUGCCAUUAACAUAAGAAAGGUAAUGGAAAAACUGUUACUAAUCGAAAGUCUGGUUAAUAGCGGUCUUAACUAUGAGGAUCCUAAGGUAGCAAAAUAAAUUGGCCAUUAAAUGUGGUCCGGUAUCAAUAAUGUAACGAUGGCUUCACUGKCUCUACAACUUGCUCAGUGAAAUUGAAUUACCCGUGCAGAUGCCGG